rfam:Gossypium hirsutum cultivar TM-1 unplaced genomic scaffold scaffold235.1, whole genome shotgun sequence
UGUUAAAAAUUUCAUCCAUUUGUACGGUUAAAGCAUGGUGUGAUUGACAUAAUAACCAAACAGUGAUACAGGAGAGCCAUAUGUACCACAUGAUAAUGUACAACGAAUAUUUUUUACCAAUAGAAAUGGAUGAAAAUUUUAACA